rnacentral:rRNA from 1 species
GAGUUUGAUCCUGGCUCAGGAUCAACGCUGGCGACGUGCCUAACGCAUGUAAGUCGAACGCAGAGCCUUCGGGCUUUGAGUGGCGAACGGCUGAGGAACACGUACGAACCUGCCUGUUUGUGGGGAAUAACGCGCCGAAAGGUGUGCUAAUACCGCGUACGCUCGACCUUCGGGUUGAGGAAAGCCUUCGGGCGCAGACAGCGGGGCGUGCGGCCCAUCAGGUCGUUGGUGGGGUAAUGGCCUACCAAGCCUUUGACGGGUAGCUGGUCUGUGAGGACGAUCAGCCAGACUGGGACUGCGACACGGCCCAGACACCUACGGGUGGCAGCAGCGAGGAAUCUUCCACAAUGGGCGAAAGCCCGAUGGAGCAACGCCGCGUGGAGGAUGACGGCCUUCGGGUUGUAAACUCCUUUCGGGAGGGAUGAUACGGACAGUACCUCCAAAAGAAGCCCCGGCUAACUCUGUGCCAGCAGCCGCGGUAAUACAGGGGGGGCAAGCGUUGUCCGGAAUUACUGGGCGUACAGCGCGCGCAGGCGGUCCACUACGUGCCGUGUGACAGCCGUCGGCUUAACCGACGGAGGCCAGGGUACACGGGUGAACUUGAGGCAGAGAGAGGGAUGUGGAAUACCCGGUGGAGCGGUGAAAUGCGUAGAGAUCGGGUGGAACACCAGGGGCGAAGGCGGCAUCCUGGCUCUGUUACUGACGCUGAGGCGCGAGAGCGUGGGGAGCAAACCGGAUUAGAUACCCGGGUAGUCCACGCCGUAAACGAUGUGUACCCGGCGCUGGGAAGUGAUUGCGCUUCUCGGUGCCCCAGCUUACGCGAUGAGUACACC